rnacentral:rRNA from 1 species
AUUGAACGCUGGCGGCAGGCUUAACACAUGCAAGUCGAGCGGAGAGAGGUAGCUUGCUACUGAUCUUAGCGGCGGACGGGUGAGUAAUGCUUAGGAAUCUGCCUAUUAGUGGGGGACAACAUUUCGAAAGGAAUGCUAAUACCGCAUACGUCCUACGGGAGAAAGCAGGGGAUCUUCGGACCUCGCGCUAAUAGAUGAGCCUAAGUCGGAUUAGCUAGUUGGUGGGGUAAAGGCCUACCAAGGCGACGAUCUGUAGCGGGUCUGAGAGGAUGAUCCGCCACACUGGGACUGAGACACGGCCCAGACUCCUACGGGAGGCAGCAGUGGGGAAUAUUGGACAAUGGGCGGAAGCCUGAUCCAGCCAUGCCGCGUGUGUGAAGAAGGCCUUAUGGUUGUAAAGCACUUUAAGCGAGGAGGAGGCUACUUUAGUUAAUACCUAGAGAUAGUGGACGUUACUCGCAGAAUAAGCACCGGCUAACUCUGUGCCAGCAGCCGCCGCCGUA